rnacentral:rRNA from 1 species
GACGUAGGGCGCGAGCGUUGUCCGGAUUUAUUGGGCGUAAAGAGCUCGUAGGCGGCUUGUCGCGUCGACUGUGAAAACCCGCGGCUCAACUGCGGGCCUGCAGCCGAUACGGGCAGGCGUAGAGUUCGGUAGGGGAGACUGGAAUUCCUGGGUGUAGCGGUGAAAUGCGCAGAUAUCAGGAGGAACACCGGUGGCGAAGGCAGGUCUCUGGGCCAUUACUGACACUGAGAAGCGAAAGCAUGGGGAGCGAACAGGA